AGUUUUUGGGCUUAUUUAUGAGAGAAGGAGGUAGAGAGAGAAGUUAAAAGAAAAGGUUUUUGGUGAAAGUUGAAGAGAAAGAAGAGAAGAGGAAUCCAAAUCUCGUUUUUCAACACAGCAGUCUCGCAAAAACUUCGAUUCCCGAUUCGUUAACCGUUAGAUUUCCUUCAAAUUUUGAGGGUAGGUUCACAACAUCUGAGGCCAACUUUUGACCGUUCGGAUCGUUGAAACAAGGUCUGAGGAGGAAGAAAUCGAGUUCGGAUUGCACCAUAUGUUUUGGGGAGAAAAAGAGGGAGAGAGGCAAGAACAAGGUGGAGCUUCAAGAACCAUUGCCAUCCAUUUUCUUUACAACCAAAGGUAUGGGAAGUUUAUGUAUUAAGUAGGAUUGGGUUAUAGAAUAAAGGAGUAGCCAAGCUUCUCUCUCCCAAGUAUUCUAUGAUUCUCCUUAGGAGAGGGUUUGUGUGAAAACCCUUGAGUAGAGAUUAUGUCUUUAUGAUUUCUCAUUAAAAAUUCAUGUUUGAGUUGUUGAUUGGUAGUGAUUUAUGCAAUAAAAAAAUUCAUGUUUGAAUUGUUGUUCAUGUUGAAUACUUUUGGAAAAAUGGAUUUUUAUGAUAAAAAUAUGAAUUUGAGAUUGUUUGUAGCUAAUUUGAGUGUGUUGGAGUUGUCUUAAAUGUAGAAUAAAUGUAAGUGUUAAACUCAAGCUUUUGUGACUCUUUGAAAGAUUCUCUCGUUGAUGUUAAUGGAAAGAAAUUGAUUUUCAUCCCAUGGUUUAGUACAAUCCAUUAAGUUUUGUGGCCUUGUUCUAGGACUGGUCUUACUUGAAUUUGGAAACCAUAAACUCCAUUGCAGGAACUAAUAUGUCUCUAGGUAUUGUACCCGUCUCUAGUGGAAGGAUCCCUGUUGGAUUAACCUUACCCUUGUCUAAUAUAAUUGAGUCUAAAUAAUUCUUUUCACAAUAAGCUCGAGGAGUAAUUAAUAGACUUAGUAGUAAUUAACUAGAUGAUUAGAGAGUGUUAAUCACUGUAGUUUAGUGGAGUUAGGAUUAGCUAAAUUAUUUUAUCUAAUCUUCGAAAAGAUGAUGGUGAUGAAUAUACGAAUGAAACUAAAUUGAUGUAUUUAAUUGAUAAACUUUAUUUGUGAGUUUAUUGAUGAAUUUUAUUGGUGUAUGAAUUCUUUUGGUGUAUUAGUGAUGUGUUCGUGCUUAUGCACAAUGACGAGGUGUGAUUGUUCAUUAAUAUAACUAUGAUGUUCAAUUUAUUGAUGAUGAUAAAUGAUGAUUUAUCAUGAGUAGAUGUAUUCUAAAGACGAUGAUUUAGAAUAUUUGGAUUAUGUUAUCCAUAUUAUGUUGAUAUUUUAGUUGAGAUAAAACCAUAUGUUUGGUAUAUGCACAUUCAUGCAUUCAUAAGUUGUGUCUAUUGAUGAGUAUUCUAGAGACGAUGAUCUAGUUUACUGUUGUUUUAGAGACGAUGAUCUAAAACAUUUGGAAUAAGUUUUCCAAAAUUAUGAUGAUGGGUACCACAUGCAUAUAGGUCGUGUCUAGGGAGGCAUUGCAUACUUAAUUUCAAUAGAUGAAAUGUUGUAUGAUUGAUUUAAUCAAUUGAUUACUGAUGUGUAAAUUGAGGUGUUGAUUAAAUGGUAUAAAUGUUGCAUGAAUUAGUAAUGUGAUAUAAUCAUGUUUAUACCUUGUUGUAUAUUUCCUAUUUUUUUUGCUUAUUACAUAAACUCACCCUGUUUUGUGUUAUGUGUUAUGUGCUGGACUCUUGGGAGUCCAGGUUUUCCAGGUUGUUGAGUCUCGUGUUCAAGUUCUUGAUGAAGCUCCGCUCUGAUUGUGACACGGGGGAAGAGUUCAUAGAGUCAUUUACUCUGUCAUUUUAUUUUUAAUUUAAAAUGUUUCUUUUUAGAAAAGAAAAAUAUUUUUAAUAGUGAUACUUAUGCUAAUUUAUUUUCACUAGCCAUGUAUGAAGAAAAAUGUAAUACCUUAGACCAAUAUUUUUAUAAGUUAUUUUGACUUCAAGCCUAUUUAUUAUUUAUAACCGCUGCAUAAAUUUGAAAAGUAUUCUUGAAUUAGAGUAACUUUUGAAUAUUGGGUUUAGGGUGUUACAA
rnacentral:lncRNA from 1 species